AACGCACAUUGCGCCCGCCAGUAUUCUGGCGGGCAUGCCUGUCCGAGCGUCAUUUCAACCCUCGAACCCCUCCGGGGGGUCGGCGUUGGGGAUCGGCCCUGCCUUGGCGGUGGCCGUCUCCGAAAUACAGUGGCGGUCUCGCCGCAGCCUCUCCUGCGCAGUAGUUUGCACACUCGCAUCGGGAGCGCGGCGCGUCCACAGCCGUUAAACACCCAACUUCUGAAAUGUUGACCUCGGAUCAGGUAGGAAUACCCGCUGAACUUAA
rnacentral:misc_RNA from 1 species